rnacentral:rRNA from 1 species
AGAACGAACGCUGGCGGCAUGCCUAAUACAUGCAAGUCGAACGAACACUUCGGUGUUAGUGGCGCACGGGUGCGUAACGCGUGGGAAUCUGCCCUUGGGUUCGGAAUAACAGUUGGAAACGACUGCUAAUACCGGAUGAUAUCGAAAGAUCAAAGAUUUAUCGCCCAGGGAUGAGCCCGCGUAGGAUUAGCUAGUUGGUGAGGUAAAGGCUCACAAGGCGACGAUCCUUAGCUGGUCUGAGAGGAUGAUCAGCCACACUGGGACUGACGACACGGCCCAGACCUCCGUACGGGAGGCAGCGAGUAGGGAAUAUGGACAAGUGGCGCAAGCCUGAUCCGAGCAAGUGCCGGAGUGAGUGAGUGAACGGUACCGUUAGGGUUA